rnacentral:rRNA from 1 species
UAGGGAGCAAGCGUUAUCCGGAUUUAUUGGGUGUAAAGGGUGCGUAGACGGAGUAGCAAGUUAGUUGUGAAAUCCCUCGGCUUAACUGAGGAACUGCAACUAAAACUACUACCCUUGAGUGCUGGAGAGGAAAGUGGAAUUCCUAGUGUAGCGGUGAAAUGCGUAGAUAUUAGGAGGAACACCAGUGGCGAAGGCGACUUUCUGGACAGUAACUGACGUUGAGGCACGAAAGUGUGGGGAGCAAA